AUAGUAGAUGAAUCGGGUCAUCUAUUUCUAAACUAAUCUAAAACCUAAAUGCAGAGGAAGGAAAAAAACAUUGAGAGAACGCAAACCCAAGAGAAGCAGAUGGAGGCGCGGCGGGUUGAAGUUUUGUGAGUAAGGAGGAGAAAGAGGAAGCGCAGCGGUGAGCGGUUGAUGAUUGUAGGACGACAACGGCUGAAGUGUUCGACUGAACGGGAAAUUGCAGGGGGUUUUGUACGACCGCGAGGGUUUCUAUGUUGCGGCUUGAUGGUGUGACCAUGGUUACCGGAUCUCCUACCAACGAGGUUUGUGAAGCACGUGCCCCCAUCGUUGACUUGCAACCGGUUUCGUUAAAAUGAAUAAGCUUUCUUUUUCUCUUAUUCUACCUUUUACAAUUUUAUGUUUUUAGUGAAGUUGAUUUUCUCAAGCUGAUGAAUGUUGUUUUUUCAUUGAUAAGCAAAAAAUGGUUCUUACUUAUUUGUCUCUCUGGUUGUUAUUAGUAAGUAACGUUUCUAGAUUGAACUCAUAGAACAAGAUGGAAUAUAUCACUGAUUGUUUGUCUAUAUUUCUACCUUUCCUUCUUUUUUACUCAAUGUUAAUUUCAAAAUUAAUACAUGGCUGGAUGCUUUGUAAUGUGCUUAGCUACAUUUUGUGAUGUAAUCAUAACACAAUAUUGCAGUUAAUAAAUGUCAUCAUUACCUAAAUAGUAUUACAAUUUAGGAAGUAUAGAAUGUUAACAGAGAAGUAUUGCUUCACUCCCAGUUGAAUAUUUUCAGCACAAUUUUUUUAUUGAUUCUAACUAGUACUUUUGAAGUUGCAGUUACUCACAAACAUUAUCUGAAACCAUUAAUAUUUCAUUUGUUAGAUGGAACAAGCCAGAUCAAUCCGGCAUUACCAACAAAAGGAAUUGAACCUUAUGUGACAUUGUCAUUUGGCAUGACCCUGCCUCAAACACUAAAAAAGGCAUUGAAGCAGCUCAUAGAGCUCAAGAUUUUCAGCUAGGCUGGUUUCUUGAUCCUUUGAUGUUUGGAGAUUAUCCAAGUUCAACAAGAAGCAAAGUAGGAAACAGGCUGCCAAAGAAUGGAACUGAAUUGCUUGAAGUUAUGGUUGAUGGAAAUCUGGAAGAAAAAUUGUUUGAAAAUCAUAAAGGAUGGGGAGCUCUCUACUUCUUAUGCAGAGAGACUUCUUUUUAUUUGGGAUGUAAUGUAAAUUGUACUUUUGUUGGUUUUUAAUGAGAUUUUUGGUUCAAUUAAUAGGUAAAUAAAAUGAAAAUUCUAUUCA